AUGACAAUAAAUAAAAGCCAGGGUCAGACCUUAUCCUUUGUUGGGGUAUAUCUGAAGCAACCUGUGUUCACCCACGGGCAGUUGUAUGUUGCUGUGUCACGAGUCGCGUCUAGGAAAUCGCUUAAGUUUCUUAUUGAAGAUAAAGAUGAGAAAUGUUCGUCUGAGACACGAAAUAUUGUAUACCCCGAGGUUUAUGCCUCAGCUAGCUCCUUUUGA
rnacentral:rRNA from 1 species